AUGGAGGCGCAGACUUCGUCUCCACCAGAUCCUCGGUUGCGGACUCGACGCGAGCGAUGGAGGGCUCUGCAGCGCCUAACUCCUCCUGCGGGAAAAGUCGCGGAAUCGGAGCGAGCGCUGAGGAGCGCCGGCGAGGAAGCCCUGCUCUGGUGGGUUGCGUGUAUCGCGAGCCUCACCUGUGGCCAAGUACGACGUGCUCCAGAGUGGAGUGGUCGACGCCCUCCCCACCUCGCCCGUGACUGGUAUUUCGUCAUCCGUACUCUAUUCGGUUCAGCUCUGUCCGACGCUGCGUGCGCCUUGACGCCGCCACCCUAG
rnacentral:rRNA from 1 species